UCGGGAAUUUUGCCCAAUGAGCGAAAGCUUGAGGCAGCAACUCCGCGUGAGGGAUGAAGGCUCUCGGGUCGUAAACCUCUUUUCUCAGGGAAGAUCCAAGACGGUACCUGAGGAAUAAGCCACGGCUAACUACGUGCCAGCAGCCGCGGUAAUACGUAGGUGGCAAGCGUUGUCCGGAUUUACUGGGCGUAAAGAGCGCGCAGGCGGCUGGUCAAGUCCGAUGUGAAAUCUCCCGGCUCAACUGGGAAACUGCAUCGGAAACUGAUCGGCUUGAAGGUGGGAGAGGGUAGUGGAAUUCCCGGUGUAGUGGUGAAAUGCGUAGAUAUCGGGAGGAACACCAGUGGCGAAGGCGACUACCUGGCCCAUUCUUGACGCUGAGGCGCGAAAGCUAGGGGAGCGAACGGG
rnacentral:rRNA from 1 species